AACGACUUCUAGAAGAAGCUGUUGUCCUUCCAUUAUGGAUGCCUGAAUAUUUCCAGGGAAUUAGGAGACCUUGGAAAGGUGUUCUCAUGUUUGGCCCCCCGGGAACUGGUAAGACAGACACUGCUUGCCAAGGCUGUUGCUACUGAAUGUGGUAUAACAUUUUUCAAUGUUUCAUCAGCUACGUUGGCUUCAAAAUGGCGUGGGGAGAGUGAGCG
rnacentral:misc_RNA from 1 species